CUGACUUGACAGGUGGGGAAGCGGUU
rnacentral:piRNA from 1 species